UACGUAGGGUGCGAGCGUUAAUCGGAAUUACUGGGCGUAAAGCGUGCGCAGGCGGUUUUGUAAGCCAGAUGUGAAAUCCCCGGGCUUAACCUGGGAAUGGCAUUUGGGACUGCAAGGCUUGAGUGCGGCAGAGGAGACUGGAAUUCCUGGUGUAGCAGUGAAAUGCGUAGAUAUCAGGAGGAACACCGGUGGCGAAGGCGGGUCUCUGGGCCGAUACUGACGCUGAGGAGCGAAAGCGUGGGGAGCGAACAGG
rnacentral:rRNA from 1 species